rnacentral:rRNA from 1 species
GAUGAACGCUGGCGGCGUGCCUAAUACAUGCAAGUCGAACGCAGUGGGGACGGGUGAGUAACACGUGGGUAACCUACCAUCAGAGGGGAAAACACUUGGAAAUAGGUGCUAAACCGAUACUGAUGGAUGAACCAGCGGUGCAUUAGCUAGUUGGUGAGGGAACGGCUCACCAAGGCCACGAUGCAUAGCCUACCUGAGAGGGUGAUCGGCCACGCUGGGACUGAGACACGGCCCAGACUCCUACGGGAGGCAGCAGUAGGGAAUCUUCGGCAAUGGACGAAAGUCUAGCCGGGCAACGCCGCGUGAGUGAUGAAGGUUAUCGGAUCGUAAAACUCUGUUGUUAGAGAAGCGGUAUCUAACCAGAAAGCCACGGCUAACUACGUGCCAGCAGCCGCGGUAAUUC